rnacentral:misc_RNA from 1 species
GAUGAAGAACGUAGCGAAAUGCGAUAAGUAAUGCGAAUUGCAGAAUUCCAGUGAGUCAUCGAAUCUUUGAACGCACAUUGCGCCCUUUGGUAUUCCGAAGGGCAUGCCUGUUCGAGCGUCAUUACUAUCUUCAAGCACAGCUUGGUUGUUGAGCCCAAUUGUCCUCUAAUGGACAGGCUUGAAAUGCAGCGGCGAUGCCAUGUUUGGUGCCCGAGUGUAUGGGGCUUUGUCACACACUUUUGUGGCCCAGCUGGCGUUGUCUUUUAAAGUACUUAAUAACUAAGAUUUGACCUCGGAUCAGGUAGGGAUACCCGCUGAACUUAAGCAUAUCAAUAAGCGGAGGA